CACCACCUAAAUCAUAAUUCUUUCAUUAUGAGCCCAUCACCUCUUCUCCCUUCCUGAAAUUAAUCCAGGAACUGCCAGAUACAAACGUCUAUUUAAUAAAAUGAACAUCUGUGAUGACACACCAGGAGCAAAAUCCUAGUUGUUCUAAACCCGGCAUUUUGCUUUGACAACCAAGUACCUGUUUUAUUUUUUAAAUACUUUCUCUCUUCAAAACACCUGCUUUCUCUACACAUUGACUUCUAAAGGAAGAGAUUAAUUUUUAUUGGCAAGAACAGAAGUUAGUCUCAACAACAACAAAGGAGAAGCUAUGCUCUAAAGAAGAGCUGCCUGCUACAUGAAAUAAUACCCAGGAACAUCAACCCAAACCCACAGAACCAAGCAAGGCCAACCCCGUUUUCCCACAUGAAAGCCACAGUGUGAUAAACCUCACUCCCUUGGAAUGGAGCUGCAGUUCUUAUUGUACCCGUGCGGCCACAGGACCCCAGUCCAGGGUGGCUGGAUUUCCAUUAGAAUUGCCUGUCCUUCACUGCCUUCUCCUCCACCCCUCCUGCGCCCAAGUCCAGUUAUUCAGUGAGUUAUAAUUUGGCACUAAAAUUCAAUUAAGCUGAAACUUUGGUCAUACGUGGUCUUUAUCUCAGCAAAGCAUAAUUUCUUUGACCCAUUUUCCAAACAUCAGCUGAUCGAUUUGAAAGCGGACAGAGGUAAAAGUUGAUUUCAAUCGCACUCACAUUUGUAGAAAGUGGCUGGGGAAAAGAAAAAAAAAAAACUUUUAAAACUUAAAAAAGAGAAAAACUUCAAAUAAACCAGAUGGGGAGUUACUUAUGAAACUGCUUGAGGUUUUCAUAGCCCUUGUCAAGCAGAGACCUCGGCCCGCUCGGCAGACUUUAAUUAAUGUCCACUCCGGCCCUGCAAGCCAUUUUCCCAAUGGAAAUUUCGAUGAGAAAGGAAGGAAUGCGAGGUUCAAGGCCGCGCUGUUGUUGAGUGGGCUGCGGGACUGGGGACUGAAACCCCGCGGUUCCCCCAUGAGCCGCGAAAGUCUGUGGAAGUAUUGAGCACCCCUAUUGAGGACUGUGGGAGUCUGGGCGGCUUAAUGGGAUUGUGUUCGGUGCUUCGGGCUGUCCUUUAAAAGAUUCCAUGGCACCAGCGAAACUCCAAUAAUAGGGCCUCUCUAAUUGCUUUCUGACUUUCUAUGAAACUUUCUAAGCUAUGCUGACAUCCUCGACUACAACGACGGAAUUCAAGAGUGGAGAAAGGCGAGACAAAGUGGGUGUGCGGAGAGAAAGCGGUUCUCAGCGAAGCGUGUGGGAGGUGGGGGGUAAUUCGGGGGAGGGGAGAUGGGGCGGGUGUUAAAUCGGUGCCGGGGAAAGAAAAAUAUGAGUGUUCUCUUUUGUGCGAGACAAACAGCCGAGCGCGGGGAGGUCGGGGCCGGGGUCACGCGGCUCCGGGCUGCAGCUGCCGCCGUGGGGCGGGCGGGGGUCCCCGGCGGCCCCCCGGGCGUCGCGGCCGGCGGCGGCGGCGGCGGCGGCAGCCUCGGCAGGCAUUCCGGCGGCGCGGGCGGCCGCUGUCCUCGCGCGACCCCGACCCGUCCAGAGCGCGCCCCGGGCGACCCUCGAGGAGGAGCGAGGGGAACGAGUGCGGUCCGGGCGCCCGAGCAAGAAGUAGCUCCAGAAUUUAAAUGUACAUAUCACAGUCUACCGUCAAAUGCUGUACCACUUCACAUAUAAUGAUCUGAAACCAUCCGUGGGGCUCUUGGACGCACGCGUCUACACGGGGCUUUCCAGGGUGGCGUCUUCGCCGCGCACAGAAAUCCUGUUCCCUGGAGCCCUUUGCCGCGUUCCGCCGGGCCUCCCCCACCCACACUGCGCCCACCCCCGCUAAUGGGCAUGUUUCCGUGAACACUGAAGACGAAAAACAUGCGAUUUUGAAUGUGUCUCUUUCAUGGUCACACAUUUCUUUUCAUUGUGCGCCUUGGCUGAGCCACGCUUCCAAUUCCCAGGGACCCUCCUGGGCUCCGCUUGCAGAGCAUUGUUGCACUUCGACAGCCCCUCCCCCGAGAGCCAGAGGUCGCUGGACCCUGGAUUGUGUAGGGUGUCUCUGAAAGCACUCUCAAUAAAAAGCUCCGGGUCUUUGC
ensembl:lncRNA